rnacentral:rRNA from 1 species
GACGAACGCUGGCGGCGUGCCUAAUACAUGCAAGUCGGACGCACAGUUUAUACCGUAGCUUGCUACACCAUAGACUGUGAGUUGCGAACGGGUGAGUAACGCGUAGGUAACCUGCCUGGUAGCGGGGGAUAACUAUUGGAAACGAUAGCUAAUACCGCAUAAUAUUAAUUAUUGCAUGAUAAUUAAUUGAAAGGUGCAAUUGCACCACUACCAGAUGGACCUGCGUUGUAUUAGCUAGUAGGUGAGGUAACGGCUCACCUAGGCGACGAUACAUAGCCGACCUGAGAGGGUGAUCGGCCACACUGGGACUGAGACACGGCCCAGACUCCUACGGGAGGCAGCAGUAGGGAAUCUUCGGCAAUGGACGAAAGUCUGACCGAGCAACGCCGCGUGAGUGAAGAAGGUUUUCGGAUCGUAAAGCUCUGUUGUAAGAGAAGAACGGGUGUGAGAGUGGAAAGUUCACACUGUGACGGUAUCUUACCAGAAAGGGACGGCUAACUACGUG